rnacentral:rRNA from 1 species
UACGUAGGGGGCUAGCGUUGUCCGGAAUCAUUGGGCGUAAAGCGCGUGUAGGCGGUCCGGUAAGUCCGCUGUGAAAGUCGGGGGCUCAACCCUCGGAUGCCGGUGGAUACUGUCGGGCUUGAGUACGGAAGAGGCGAGUGGAAUUCCUGGUGUAGCGGUGAAAUGCGCAGAUAUCAGGAGGAACACCGGUGGCGAAGGCGGCCUUCUGGACAGUGACUGACGCUGAGACGCGAAAGCGUGGGGAGCAAACAGG